GAACUGCGAUAAGUAAUGUGAAUUGCAGAAUUCAGUGAAUCAUCGAGUCUUUGAACGCAGAUUGCGCCCCCUGGCAUUCCGGGGGGCAUGCCUGUCCGAGCGUCAUUGCUGCCCUUCAAGCCCGGCUUGUGUGUUGGGUCGUCGUCCCCUCCGGGGGACGGGCCCGAAAGGCAGCGGCGGCACCGCGUCCGGUCCUCGAGCGUAUGGGGCUUUGUCACCCGCUCGAUAAGGACCGGCCGGGCGCCAGCCGGCGUCUCCAACCUUUUUUUCUCAGGUUGACCUCGGAUCAGGUAGGGAUACCCGCUGAACUUAAGC
rnacentral:misc_RNA from 1 species